rnacentral:rRNA from 1 species
UGGGGAAUUUUGGACAAUGGGGGAAACCCUGAUCCAGCCAUCCCGCGUGUGCGAUGAAGGCCUUCGGGUUGUAAAGCACUUUUGGCAGGAAAGAAACGUCAUGGGUUAAUACCCCGUGAAACUGACGGUACCUGCAGAAUAAGCACCGGCUAACUACGUGCCAGCAGCCGCGGUAAUACGUAGGGUGCAAGCGUUAAUCGGAAUUACUGGGCGUAAAGCGUGCGCAGGCGGUUCGGAAAGAAAGAUGUGAAAUCCCAGAGCUCAACUUUGGAACUGCAUUUUUAACUACCAGGCUAGAGUGUGUCAGAGGGAGGUGGAAUUCCGCGUGUAGCAGUGAAAUGCGUAGAUAUGCGGAGGAACACCGAUGGCGAAGGCAGCCUCCUGGGAUAACACUGACGCUCAUGCACGAAAGCGUGGGGAGCAAACAGG